GGAAAGGAUAAACAUGGAAUGAUAGGCCUGGGAUUACUACAGCCCAGUUUAACUUUUCCUACUACAUGAAGUAUACGGCUGCUUUCCUGGUGUGUUCUCAACAUUAAAUUCACUUCCAUUCAAGCUGCUGUGCUGUAAGACCAGCUAUCAUACUCCCUGCUUCUGACUGCUCUUUUAGGUGGGAGUCAUCUCUGGCAGCUGAACUGUCUGGAUGUCUGCAGCCUUCUGUGAACAUCAGAACUGAUUUCUACCCUGGAACAGAAGAGAGGUGUUUACGCUCUGUGUUGCCCCCUCCCUUCAAGAGUACAAAGUUACUUGUUCCUCACAGUGAGAUGUCUUCUGGCUGCUUAAUGAGGUUUUGAAUGGCAGUGAACAGCUUUGCUUCCAAAAGUAAUGGCUGUAAGUAUUCACACUAUUUGAAUCAAUACUAAGUAGAUCAGGAAGUAACUUGGGUAGUGGGGAUAGUCUCUGCAUCUUUG
rnacentral:lncRNA from 1 species